rnacentral:rRNA from 1 species
GACGAACGCUGGCGGCGUGCUUAACACAUGCAAGUCGAACGGAAAGGCCCUGCUUUUGUGGGGUGCUCGAGUGGCGAACGGGUGAGUAACACGUGAGUAACCUGCCCUUGACUUUGGGAUAACUUCAGGAAACUGGGGCUAAUACCGGAUAGGAGCUCCUGCUGCAUGGUGGGGGUUGGAAAGUUUCGGCGGUUGGGGAUGGACUCGCGGCUUAUCAGCUUGUUGGUGGGGUAGUGGCUUACCAAGGCUUUGACGGGUAGCCGGCCUGAGAGGGUGACCGGCCACAUUGGGACUGAGAUACGGCCCAGACUCCUACGGGAGGCAGCAGUGGGGAAUAUUGCACAAUGGGCGGAAGCCUGAUGCAGCAACGCCGCGUGCGGGAUGACGGCCUUCGGGUUGUAAACCGCUUUCGCCUGUGACGAAGCGUGAGUGACGGUAAUGGGUAAAGAAGCACCGGCUAACUACGUGCCAGCAGCCGCGGUGAUACGUAGGGUGCGAGCGUUGUCCGGAUUUAUUGGGCGUAAAGGGCUCGUAGGUGGUUGAUCGCGUCGGAAGUGUAAUCUUGGGGCUUAACCCUGAGCGUGCUUUCGAUACGGGUUGACUUGAGGAAGGUAGGGGAGAAUGGAAUUCCUGGUGGAGCGGUGGAAUGCGCAGAUAUCAGGAGGAACACCAGUGGCGAAGGCGGUUCUCUGGGCCUUUCCUGACGCUGAGGAGCGAAAGCGUGGGGAGCGAACAGGCUUAGAUACCCUGGUAGUCCACGCUGUAAACGGUGGGUACUAGGUGUGGGGUCCAUUCCACGGGUUCCGUGCCGUAGCUAACGCUUUAAGUACCCCGCCUGGGGAGUACGGCCGCAAGGCUAAAACUCAAAGGAAUUGACGGGGCCCCGCACAAGCGGCGGAGCAUGCGGAUUAAUUCGAUGCAACGCGUAGAACCUUACCUGGGUUUGACAUGGAUCGGGAGUGCUCAGAGAUGGGUGUGCCUCUUUUGGGGUCGGUUCACAGGUGGUGCAUGGCUGUCGUCAGCUCGUGUCGUGAGAUGUUGGGUUAAGUCCCGCAACGAGCGCAACCCUUGUUCACUGUUGCCAGCACGUUAUGGUGGGGACUCAGUGGAGACCGCCGGGGUCAACUCGGAGGAAGGUGGGGAUGACGUCAAGUCAUCAUGUCCCUUAUGUCCAGGGCUUCACGCAUGCUACAAUGGCUGGUACAGAGAGUGGCGAGCCUGUGAGGGUGAGCGAAUCUCGGAAAGCCGGUCUCAGUUCGGAUUGGGGUCAGCAACUCGACCUCAUGAAGUCGGAGUCGCUAGUAAUCGCAGAUCAGCAACGCUGCGGUGAAUACGUUCCCGGGGCU